rnacentral:rRNA from 1 species
ACUCCUACGGGAGGCAGCAGUGGGGAAUAUUGCACAAUGGGCGCAAGCCUGAUGCAGCCAUGCCGCGUGUGUGAAGAAGGCCUUCGGGUUGUAAAGCACUUUCAGUCGUGAGGAAGGUAGUGUAGUUAAUAGCUGCAUUAUUUGACGUUAGCGACAGAAGAAGCACCGGCUAACUCCGUGCCAGCAGCCGCGGUAAUACGGAGGGGGUUAGCGUUGUUCGGAAUUACUGGGCGUAAAGCGCGCGUAGGCGGACAUUUAAGUCAGGGGUGAAAUCCCGGGGCUCAACCCCGGAACUGCCCUUGAUACUGGGUGUCUUGAGUUCGAGAGAGGUGAGUGGAAUUCCGAGUGUAGAGGUGAAAUUCGUAGAUAUUCGGAGGAACACCAGUGGCGAAGGCGGCUCACUGGCUCGAUACUGACGCUGAGGUGCGAAAGUGUGGGGAGCAAACAGGAUUAGAUACCCUGGUAGGCUCU